rnacentral:rRNA from 1 species
GACGAACGCUGGUGGCGUGCUUAACACAUGCAAGUCUAACGGGAUUUCGUAAACAGACGCCUCGGUGGAAGAUUACUAAUGAGAGUGGCGAACGGGUGAGUAACGCGUGAGCAACCUGCCUAUGACAGUGGGAUAGCCUCGGGAAACCGGGAUUAAUACCGCAUAAAAUCGUAGAAACACAUGUUUUAACGGUCAAAGAUUUAUCGGUCAUAGAUGGGCUCGCGUCUGAUUAGCUAGUUGGUGAGAUAACAGCCCACCAAGGCGACGAUCAGUAGCCGGUCUGAGAGGAUGAACGGCCACAUUGGAACUGAGACACGGUCCAAACUCCUACGGGAGGCAGCAGUGGGGAAUAUUGCACAAUGGGGGAAACCCUGAUGCAGCGACGCCGCGUGAACGAAGAAGGUAUUCGUAUCGUAAAGUUCUGUCCUAUGGGAAGAUAAUGACAGUACCAUAGAAGAAAGCUCCGGCUAAAUACGUG